CUACGGGUGGCAGCAGUCGAGAAUCGUCUACAAUGGGGGAAACCCUGAUAGUGCGACGCCGCGUGAACGAUGAAACCCUUCGGGGCGUAAAGUUCUUUUCUUUGUGAGCAGAUUAUUUAAUGAGAAUAUUGUUUAAUAAUAGAUAUUAGCAAAGGAAUAAGCCACGGCUAACUCCGUGCCAGCAGCCGCGGUAAUACGGGGGUGGCAAGCGUUGUCCGGAAUCACUAGGCGUAAAGGGCAGGUAGGCGGACUGGUAAGUCAGAUGUUAAAGGCACAGGCUCAACCUGGGUAGGGCAUUUGAUACUGUCAGUCUAGAGUUAGGUAUGGGAGGACGGAAUUUCUGGUGUAGCGGUGGAAUGCGCAGAUAUCAGAAAGAACACCAAAGGCGAAGGCAGUUCUCUUGGCCAUAACUGACGCUAAACUGCGAAGGUGUGGGUAUCAAACAGGAUUAGAUACCCUCGUAGUC
rnacentral:rRNA from 1 species